rnacentral:rRNA from 1 species
UACGUAGGCAGCGAGCGUUGUUCGGAGUUACUGGGCGUAAAGGGUGUGCAGGCGGUUGGUUAAGUUUGGUGUGAAAUCUCCCGGCUCAACUGGGAGGGUGCGCCGAAUACUGAAUGACUUCGAGUGCGGGAGAGGAGAGUGGAAUUCCUGGUGUAGCGGUGAAAUGCGUAGAUAUCGAUAGGAACACUCGUGGCGAAGGCGAGCUACUGGACAACAUCUGACGCUGAGGCUCGAAGGCCAGGGGAGCAAAAGGG